GGACGGUUAGCUCAGCUGGUUAGAGCGCUGCAUUGACAUUGCAGAGGUCGGGGGUUCGAGUCCCUUAUCGUCCA
rfam:Candidatus Kaiserbacteria bacterium RIFCSPHIGHO2_02_FTLL_50_50 rifcsphigho2_02_scaffold_474, whole genome shotgun sequence.